AACGAACGCUGGCGGCAUGCCUAACACAUGCAAGUCGAACGAAGGCUUCGGCCUUAGUGGCGCACGGGUGCGUAACGCGUGGGAAUCUGCCCUUGGGUUCGGCAUAACAGCGGGAAACUGCUGCUAAUACCGGAUGAUGACGUAAGUCCAAAGAUUUAUCGCCCCAGGAUGAGCCCGCGUAGGAUUAGCUAGUUGGUUGGGUAAAGGCCCACCAAGGCGACGAUCCUUAGCUGGUCUGAGAGCAUGAUCAGCCACACUGGGACUGAGACACGGCCCAGACUCCUACGGGAAGCAGCAGUGGGGAAUAGUGGACAAUGGGCGAAAGCCUGAUCCAGCAAUGCCGCGUGAGUGAUGAAGGCCUUAGGGUUGUAAAGCUCUUUUACCCGGGAUGAUAAUGACAGUACCGGGAGAAUAAGCUCUGGCUAACUCCGUG
rnacentral:rRNA from 1 species